rnacentral:rRNA from 1 species
AGCUCCAAUAGCGUAUAUUUAAGUUGUUGCAGUUAAAAAGCUCGUAGUUGGAUUUCGGGUGGGUUCCAGCGGUCCGCCUACGGUGAGUACUGCUGUGGCCCUCCUUUUUGCCGGGGACGGUCUCCUGGGCUUUACUGUCCGGGAAUCGGAGUCGGCGAUGAUACUUUGAGUAAAUUAGAGUGUUCAAAGCAAGCCUACGCUCUGAAUACUUUAGCAUGGAAUAUCGCGAUAGGACUCUGGCCUAUCUCGUUGGUCUGUAGGACCGGAGUAAUGAUUAAGAGGGACAGUCGGGGGCAUUCGUAUUUCAUUGUCAGAGGUGAAAUUCUUGGAUUUAUGAAAGACGAACUACUGCGAAAGCAUUUGCCAAGGAUGUUUUCA